UAAUACGGAGGGUGCGAGCGUUAAUCGGAAUUACUGGGCGUAAAGCGCGCGUAGGCGGUUUGGUCAGUCGGAUGUGAAAGCCCUGGGCUCAACCUGGGAAUGGCAUUCGAUACUGCCUGACUAGAGUAUGGUAGAGGGAAGUGGAAUUUCCGGUGUAGCGGUGAAAUGCGUAGAUAUCGGAAGGAACACCAGUGGCGAAGGCGACUUCCUGGGCCAAUACUGACGCUAAGGUGCGAAAGCGUGGGGAGCAAACAGGAUUAGAUACCCUGGUAGUCCACGCCGUAAACGAUGAGAACUAGAUGUCGGGAGGGUUGCCUUUCGGUGUCGCAGCUAACGCGUUAAGUUCUCCGCCUGGGGAGUACGCCGGCAACGGUA
rnacentral:rRNA from 1 species